rnacentral:rRNA from 1 species
GACGAACCGUGCAAACGUUAUUCGGAAUCACUGGGCUUAAAGGGCGCGUAGGCGGGCGGCCAAGUCAGAGGUGAAAUCCCACGGCUCAACCGUGGAAUAGCCCCUGAUACUGGCUGUCUGGAGGGAGGUAGGGGCGUGCGGAACUUCCGGUGGAGCGGUGAAAUGCGUAGAUAUCGGAAGGAACACCGGUGGCGAAAGCGGCGCGCUGGACCUCUACUGACGGCUGAGGCGCGAAAAGCCAGGGGAGCAAACGGG